rnacentral:rRNA from 1 species
UGCAAGUCAUACGGGAGUUUUGAACUCCAGUGGCGGACGGGUGAGUAACACGUAAGAAUUUGCCUUUAGGAGGGGGAUAAGCUGGAGACAGUAAGUAAUACCCCAUAUGCUUUCGAGUGAAAUGAAUUGUUUCGCCUAGAGAGAAGCUUGCGGCUGAUUAGCUUGUUGGUAGGGUAAUGGCCUACCAAGGCGACGAUCAGUAUCUGGUUUGAGAGGACGAUCAGACACACUGGAACUGAGACACGGUCCAGACUCCUACGGGAGGCAGCAGUGGGGAAUUUUCCGCAAUGGGCGAAAGCCUGACGGAGCAAUACCGCGUGAGGGAUGACGGCCUAUGGGUUGUAAACCUCUUUUUUCAGGGAGGAAACAAAUGACGUUACCUGAAGAAUAAGCAUCGGCUAACUCCGUGCCAGCAGCCGCGGUAAGACGGAGGAUGCAAGUGUUAUCCGGAAUCACUGGGCGUAAAGCGUCUGUAGGUGGUUGAAUAAGUCAACUGUUAAAUCUUGAGGCUCAACCUCAAAACCGCAGUCGAAACUAUUGAACUAGAGUCUAGUAGGGGUAAAGGGAAUUUCCAGUGGAGCGGUGAAAUGCGUAGAGAUUGGAAAGAACACCGAUGGCGAAGGCACUUUACUGGGCUAUGACUAACACUGAGAGACGAAAGCUAGGGUAGCAA